AGGAAGAAUUUCUACAUUGAGACUAGUAAAUGUGUGUUGUGUGAUGAUGAGCCCAAUGAACAUCUAAUGCACCUCUUCUUUAGCUGUGAUUUCAGUUAAAACUUCUGGAUGAAGAUUGAUUAUCAAUGGAAUACUGAUUUCAAUCUCACAGAGAUGCUCCUGGAGAGCAAGAAACAGAAUACUUCUGGUUGCUUCAAAGAAUGUUUGAUAGCUGGAUGCUGGAGUCUAUGGAAGCAUAGGAAUAGCAUAAUUUUUUAUCACAAGUCCAAGAGUAUGGCAUAUUGCCUAGCCACAUUCAAGGAACACUUCAGCAUGAUCAUAAAGAAAGCAAGACCUGGUUUGAAGGAUGGCAUGCAAAGCUGGCUGGAUUCUUUGUAG
rnacentral:rRNA from 1 species